rnacentral:lncRNA from 1 species
AGUUCGUGAAUAAAUUGCCUAAAAUACGUGAAAUUAUAUAAUUUCUUUCUCCCUUUCCUUCUCUCUUUCUAACGAAUUUCCGGCCAUCUAAGCUGCGACGAUCAUCUCUUGAUCUCCUUCGCCAAGCUUCGAUCAGGUUAGUAUAACGUUAAUUAGAUCUUUCGAUCAAGUUAGUUUUACUUUCUUUAGAUUUAAUUAAAUUUAUACUGCUACUAAAUGAACAAAAUCACGUACUUGAAUUUUGGUCAAAUACAAAGUUGGCCACUUAGGAACACAGAUCUGUACUCCCUGGUAAGCUCAAGCUGGGAACUCUGAGCUUCUUACUGAAAAUACACAUGAACUAAAGACUAGAGCUUAUUCCAAUAUUCAGUGGACAAAGGAGCCAAUGGUAAUUUACGCGGAGAUGGAAGCAAUCUUAGGAGCCACGAUAUCAAGCAGUCCCUUUGGAUUGUCGACAUGAACCCAGUGCCCUGAGCGCGGAAGAACCUGAAGCGAAAACGACCCCUCCGACUCAUC